rnacentral:rRNA from 1 species
UACGAAGGGGGCUAGCGUUGCUCGGAAUUACUGGGCGUAAAGGGCGCGUAGGCGGCACUGUUAGUCAGGCGUGAAAGUCCUGGGCUCAACCUCGGAACUGCCUUUGAUACUGCAAAUCUCGAGUCCGGAAGAGGUGAGUGGAAUUCCUAGUGUAGAGGUGAAAUUCGUAGAUAUUAGGAAGAACACCAGUGGCGAAGGCGGCUCACUGGUCCGGUACUGACGCUGAGGUGCGAAAGCGUGGGGAGCAAACAGG